rnacentral:lncRNA from 1 species
CUUUUCUUCUUCUCUCACUGCUAGCCUCUUUCUACCAUCUUCUCAUUGCCCUUCCUCUCCUGCCUUCCCUCCAUUUUUCUUUCUCCACUGCCUUUCAUCUUUUUCUCACUCGAUUUAUAUUUUGGGCUCCUGCCCCAACCUGCUAGCCCAGCAGCACCAUUUCCUACUGAUGGAGGAAUACUUCUUCCUACUCCACCUGUAUAUUGCCAGAGCCUCCCCUGUUGCCACAAGCUACCUGGAUUCUUAUCAGGAAAAGAUUGCUUAACCAAUGCUUUGAUCCCAGCAUUUUCAUGAAACACCUAUGUCCUCUCUGUGCCAACCAGAUUUGAUGCCCCCAGGAGCCUAACCUCUUUCAGACAUUUCUGACCCAGUUCAUCUCUGACCUUGUCCUGCAACUCCCACCUCAAGCUUCCUAGUGCUGUGUGUCCCUGAGUUCCCCACAUCCUCUGAACUCAGACUUGCCUGAGUUAAAACUUCCCUUGAGACAACAUAGGUAUGAAAACAGAAACUGGCAACAUGGGAUGAGGAGAAUAAGGAGAAGGGUUUAUGUGGGGAUCUAGAAAUUAAGAGGACUGCAAAGUAGAAGGGAUGGCAUGGGCUUAAGCAGUCAGAGAAACUUCACGAGAAGAGAGAACUUAAAUUCACAUUUGAAUGGGUAAAAUUAAGCAGAAAACUUCAGAAUCUUUUAUAAACAAAAAGUGGUAUAUUGCCAGAGGACGAAUUUUGAGGCAAAGAAUCAAGGAAAAUUAUGAGAGCAAGUCACGCACAGCCUUGUAUGUUAUGUUAAGAAAGAACAAGAUCCAAAGACCAGGGAGAAGAGACUGAUAGAAAAGGUCCUGUCUGACUUGGCUUGAGCCCAGCAGGAAACUGCAGAGCAGAUUCCCAACAGGGCAUGAGGAGGCUUACAUGUGAACAUGUGGGUACCCAGGGGUCUACUUCAGGCACUCAAGGCUCAGAGUAUCCCAGUAAUUCCUGUCCCAGGGGAACAGAGUUCCUUUUAUACCUGCCAAACAUCAUGCAUGUUGGUGCAUGGCAAGGACAGUAUUAAAUCCACAGCAUUUAGUACUUCUUGCCAUUUGGCUGAACUGGGGUAUGUAGAAACUAACAUUGAGCACACUUCAUUGGCUAAAGAGAAAAGUUCUUGUGGAUAUACACGUGAUGCCCAGAUUCUGAAAAGUCUUGGAGGGGCUGAGAAGUUUGAGGGGGGCCCAAAACCAAGUUUUCAUUUGACAUAAGAAAAAAAAAAAGAAAGUUAAAAAAAAAAAAGAAAGAAAGCCAUAGAGUUCUGGAC